GCGGGUUACGAUUGACGGAGCGAAGCGACGUCAAAGCGUAUACAAAGUCGAGUCGGUUUAAGGAUACGUUCGUUGGGUAGGGGAGCGUUCUGUAAGCCUGUGAAGGUGUGUCGUGAGGCAUGCUGGAGGUAUCAGAAGUGCGAAUGCUGACAUAAGUAACGAUAAAGCGGGUGAAAAGCCCGCUCGCCGGAAGACCAAGGGUUCCUGUCCAACGUUAAUCGGGGCAGGGUGAGUCGACCCCUAAGGCGAGGCCGAAAGGCGUAGUCGAUGGGAAACGGGUUAAUAUUCCCGUACUUGGUGUUACUGCGAAGGGGGGACGGAGAAGGCUAUGUUGGCCGGGCGACGGUUGUCCCGGUUUAAGCGUGUAGGUGUGUGUUCCAGGUAAAUCCGGUUCACUUUAACACUGAGGCGUGAUGACGAGGCACUACGGUGCUGAAGCAACAAAUGCCCUGCUUCCAGGAAAAGCCUCUAAGCAUCAGGUAACACGAAAUCGUACCCCAAACCGACACAGGUGGUCAGGUAGAGAAUACCAAGGCGCUUGAGAGAACUCGGGUGAAGGAACUAGGCAAAAUGGUGCCGUAACUUCGGGAGAAGGCACGCUGACACGUAGGUGAAGUGAUUUACUCAUGGAGCUGAAGUCAGUCGAAGAUACCAGCUGGCUGCAACUGUUUAUUAAAAACACAGCACUGUGCAAACACGAAAGUGGACGUAUACGGUGUGACGCCUGCCCGGUGCCGGAAGGUUAAUUGAUGGGGUCAGCGCAAGCGAAGCUCCUGAUCGAAGCCCCGGUAAACGGCGGCCGUAACUAUAACGGUCCUAAGGUAGCGAAAUUCCUUGUCGGGUAAGUUCCGACCUGCACGAAUGGCGUAAUGAUGGCCAGGCUGUCUCCACCCGAGACUCAGUGAAAUUGAACUCGCUGUGAAGAUGCAGUGUACCCGCGGCAAGACGGAAAGACCCCGUGAACCUUUACUAUAGCUUGACACUGAACAUUGAGCCUUGAUGUGUAGGAUAGGUGGGAGGCUUUGAAGUGUGGACGCCAGUCUGCAUGGAGCCGACCUUGAAAUACCACCCUUUAAUGUUUGAUGUUCUAACGUGGACCCGUGAUCCGGGUUGCGGACAGUGUCUGGUGGGUAGUUUGACUGGGGCGGUCUCCUCCUAAAGAGUAACGGAGGAGCACGAAGGUUGGCUAAUCCUGGUCGGACAUCAGGAGGUUAGUGCAAUGGCAUAAGCCAGCUUGACUGCGAGCGUGACGGCGCGAGCAGGUGCGAAAGCAGGUCAUAGUGAUCCGGUGGUUCUGAAUGGAAGGGCCAUCGCUCAACGGAUAAAAGGUACUCCGGGGAUAACAGGCUGAUACCGCCCAAGAGUUCAUAUCGACGGCGGUGUUUGGCACCUCGAUGUCGGCUCAUCACAUCCUGGGGCUGAAGUAGGUCCCAAGGGUAUGGCUGUUCGCCAUUUAAAGUGGUACGCGAGCUGGGUUUAGAACGUCGUGAGACAGUUCGGUCCCUAUCUGCCGUGGGCGCUGGAGAACUGAGGGGGGCUGCUCCUAGUACGAGAGGACCGGAGUGGACGCAUCACUGGUGUUCGGGUUGUCAUGCCAAUGGCACUGCCCGGUAGCUAAAUGCGGAAGAGAUAAGUGCUGAAAGCAUCUAAGCACGAAACUUGCCCCGA
rnacentral:rRNA from 1 species